ACCAGCGUGUGGUGUGCACUAAUAAGACGAGCACUACCACCAAAUCAGAUUACGUGAGCCAGGUGCUUUGUUAGCAGCUGGUGAUGAGACAGCCAUGGGAAGGAUCUGUGUUAAUGGGUCAGAGCCGAGUGCUAACGAACCCAGAGCCAGUGGUCCCAGCUCAGCCACCAAGCCCUUCCCCAAAAGGAGGAAGCUUUCCCUCAGGGGAGACACAGGCUGGAGACAGCAAGCUGGCAAAGUAAGAGAAACUGAAGCCAGAGGACUUGACCUGCCCAAAAAAAACACCCAGCAGGCCAGGAGCAAACACAGCCCAGACCUCGCUCAUACUUCAGGUCUGCAUCACAGUGAAGCCUGGUUUCAUGGACCAGCUGCAAAACUGCACAGCAUCAACAUCCACACUGCUGUGUACUAAGAUCAUUUUUUUUCUACCACUUAGCCAAACAGCAAAUACAUUUUUUCUGAAAUGCAAAAACGCUUUGUGAAGUCUGCGUUCAUCCUUUCUGUGCUCCAUUACAGCCUUUGGGUGCUCAUGAGAGCAAGAUCCUGAACAAAGGUGCUGCUACAGGAGCCCUGCUCUCCCCCUGGAACUGAGCCCUCAGUGCUGCUGCAGCUGAUCAAACCAUGACACAAUGCAAAAGGAUUUUCCAUAUCUAUCCGCUAUGGAAGAAUCAAGCAGAGCAGCUGGUGCUGGUCAGCAUCAAAAUAAAGCCAAAUGCACUCUGCUUCCUUGACAGCCAGAGCAGAGAUAGCCAGUGGCUGAUGUAGUUGUGUGAGCCGCACAUCCGAAUCAAGUCUUCCCACACAGUAUGUGUAAAGAUGCUAAAAAUGAAAUGCAAAAAAUGCAGAAGAGCAACAGACAUGACAAAACAUAGCUAUACUCUGAAAAGCAUCUGAAUUACAAGUCGCAAGGAAAUGAAUCAGUACUGAACAAACCCAGCAACACAUGCUGCCGUUUGCAUCGCUUAUCCAGGGGUCUUUCCAUUUGCCAGCAUGUCUGGGCAAAGAUUAUUGCUGUUAUGAGCAGGUGAAGAGCAGCUAUCAGGAAGUAUUUUAGCUGCUCCCAACCACAGUGACAAGCUGAAUGAGAUAGGAGACAGGUUUUAAUUUACUGGAGCAUGUCCUGCUUCAUAAGGAGAAAACUGAUGGUGCCCUGCAGGGACGUUCAUGCAUGAAGGUUUCCCUGUCCUGCUACAGAGCACCCUCAACACUGAAUAGUCAGGCUUUGUGAGUAAUAAGACAUGGACAGAUUUGUGAAACUUGUGAGGUGCAAAAGCAGUGCCUUGUUCGUGGAGGGAAAAGUAAGCAGGGGGCUCACAGGGGAUUUUCUCAGAGCAUUUUUGGAUGAGUUUUGCCAGCAGCAGGGAUAACAUGGCUCCAUCUGAAAGAGCAGCAUGGGACCCCGCACCCACCCUUUUUCCAUAUGGCGGAUGGUUCUCAUGAGCAAAAAAUAUGAUUUGCUUUCUCCCAGUGACAAACAGCAGGAGCACAGACAGCAGCCCUGACGCCUUCCAAGCACAGAGCAGCAAACACGCGUCCUGUUAGGUGGGAUGAAUAUCUCAUUGACGGAGGCACCAUUACUCAUUUUCCUGCUCAGGAAGCCAAAUGCAGAAGUAAAAGGUCUCGAUUGUGUCCAGGGCUUGGUCACAGCAGAAUCACGAGUGUACAGUGUAGGAGCUGGCUGCAGUGGGGCUGUUGUUGGGGCUGCUCUGCAGUGCUCUCCCAGGAGCAGAUGUGCCCCACACUGUGCAAUGGCUCUGUUGUUCAUCAGAGCUCCACACCAGUCCUAUUUGUGCCCUAAGAAAGCCCUAAAUCACCACUCCUACAAAAUAUUCCAACGCUCCCCUCCCACCCCCAAUGAAGGAGCAGUUCCCUGCA